UCCACUCGAUAAUCUAAUAUAGAGUUUUUAGUACAUAACAACUUAAAAUUUCAAAACUCUAUUAAGCCUUUGUAAUGUUGAGUUUUUAAACUUCAAGAUGCAGAUUUCAAUUUGAGCAUAAUGUCACAUUCAUAGUCAUGAGACACAAUCUUAAAAGUAGAUGAGGCAAUCAUGAAGCCAUGCUAGCCAUAAUACCAUAAGGGCAUAAGGCAUAAAAGGUAUUAAAAAAUGUUUAAGCCUAUUUCAAAGGCAUUAGAGCUCAAUAUAACCAAAUUUUAGAGUUGGAAUUUAUUUGUCUGGCUUCUCUCUAGGCAUGCCACAGAACUUAUUGACCUACUGGCAUGAGACACAAUCUUGAAAGGAGACGAGGCGAUCAUGGAGCCAUGCUAGCCCUAAUACCAUAAGGGCAUAAGGCAUAAAAGGUAUUAAAAAAUGUUUAAGCCUAUUUCAAAGGCAUUAGAGCUCAAUAUAACCAAAUUUUAGAGUUGGAAUUUAUUUGUCUGGCUUCUCUCUAGGCGUGCCACAGAACUUAUUGACCUACUGGCAUGCCACCAGCACUAGAGCAGCUAGAAAAGGAAUAAUCGAAGGGAGGAUAUAAGAGUAGCAUGGGUCUAGGUGCCUUGAUCUUCAAGGAUUUUCGCCUCUGUCACACCACCAUUCGAAGAAGAUGGAUUUGGUUAAAGAUAGGGUAUAGCUUAGGCUACAGUAGUAAAGAUCUAAAUUAACAAUACUCCUAAGGUAGAGUCCUACUAGUAAAUAAAGUAUAAGGUAAAAUAAAGCUAAGAUAG
rnacentral:lncRNA from 1 species